CAGACCUGGUCCAGUAGGAGGUACCAUCAUGAGAGUUGACAUCGGCUUAGUAUGGGAAAGAAAUGCACACAUUGGCGUUGUUGGUCAUGUGAGGACACAGCAAGAAGGUGACAGUCUGCAAGCCAGGAAGAGAGGUUCCACCAGAAAGCAACCCUGCCCACCCUUGGAUCUUGGACUUCCAGCCUCCAGAAGUGAACAAGCAGCUUGAAAGAUCACCCUGAUAAAAACGAUCUACAAUCCACAACCUGAAGAUUGAAUAUACUUCAAAGUUCAUCAGAGGAAAGAAGCAUCAAUCAAACUCCCCCAGAGGGAAUCAUCCCAGCUUGGACAUACCACCCAAGUAUCCUGGUCCAGGCUUCCCACCUCAAGAGCGCACGGGCGCCAGUGACAGCUUUUUAUGCCUAUUUCAUGGACUUUUACCCUUAGCCUUAAGAGCAUCUUGGUGUACAUUUUAUAUUGGCUCCGUAUUUGCUCUCUAGGUGCCAACGGACACUUAUCCUAACAAAGGAGUCUGGGAAUGGGCCACUUUCUGAGCAACAUAUGAAAUUGCAACGUUAAAGGAGUAAUUCUGCCACUAACCUCUCUUUUGCAAGGAAAAAACUUAAGCAAAUUAACAAUUUUUCCCCACUGGAUGAAGAGGGCCUUGCUCAAUUCUUACCUCAAAAUUUAAAAACACAGGGAGUGUGUUGGCCCCUCUCUUUUGGAGAAGAGACCGAAUGAUGAGGUCAGUAUUGCUAGGUCACCACGGCAGUGGCCCCACUGUCCCUUCUGAAUGCACAGGGUUGCUUUGGGGUCUUGCUUAUAAGGUACAGAAACUGUGCCAUUUCAAAGUAGAAAGGAUCUUCCCCUCCAGAGAGAAAAGGACUAUCCAAAAUAUUAGAAAAAAAUUCCAAAAUCGUUUAUGGGCUUUUGUCUGAUUACUGUUUUAUGGCUUUGGUAUGUCAAAAUCCAGGGAUAAAAAUAUUACACUUUCCUUCAACUAUUCUUUCUGUUCAUAAAGAAACUUCUUAUUUCCAAGUAUUGGGUCACGUCUCAUGGGAUAUCCAUGAUACUGAUGCCCCUCCUCUGGGAAGACUUUUGAAGCCUGGGGAUGCAAAACAGUUGUUUUUGAUUGCUGCUGGAAUAAGACCAAUAA